UUGGGAGUUGGAGCACCUUGAAGCUGGUGAUGGUUGGGUCCAAGUAAAUUUGAUUUAUUUCCCACUGUUGCUGUUUUCAAAAGCAUGAGGACGACAGGGAGAGGAGAUGAGAAUCAAGAGGAGAGAAAGCAGGGGAGGAGAAAGGGAAAAAGUGAUUUAGAAGAUUUGCUUCAGCUCAUCAUCAUCUUCACUUCCUUCUGAACACUUGCUUCUCAGAAUCCCUUACCAUCAGGCUUCCAGUUUAGGUUCUGCCAGUGAGAAGUACCCGUGUGAGAUUAAGACGGUGGAAGAGAAGAAGGGUCAUCUUUUGGACCUGGCUCUCUGUUUAGGCCAGCCUCAAUACCUGCAGUUUUACUUGGUGAGUUUGUGAUGCUGCGCUCUUGGAAGCAGAACAUGAGCCAUUGGCGUGGAUAGUGGGGGCAGCAGGACAGACCAUUUGUGGGGACACGGGUUCGAGCCCUGGUCUGGGAGGAUCCCACAUGCGGCGGAGCAACUGGGCCCGUGAGCCACAAUUACUGAGCCUGUGCGUCUGGAACCUGUGCUCCGCAACAAGAGAGGCCGCGAUAGUGAGAGGCCUGUGCACCGCAAUGAAGAGUGGCCCCCGCUUGCCACAACUAGAGAAAGCCCUCGCACAGAAACGAAGACCCAACACAGCCAUAAAUAAAUAAUAAUUUAAAAAAAAAAAUAAAGAAAAGAAAAUUAUGGUGCCACACGUCCCUAGCCAGGAAGAGCUGAAAAUUCAAAAUCUUAAGUAUGGUUUCUACUGAGUGCGUAUUGCUUCUGCAGCAUCAUUAAGCGCGAAAAAUUGUUAAGUCGGGGACUCCGUCUCUAGACAUUAGAUAAAUAAAGAUUCCUGCCUUAAGUGGGGCAAAGGGCUACCUGCUCACCAUCCUCCACCGUCAUCUCCCACGGCCACCAUGGAUAUGGAUACCCUUCACAGGAACCUGCGAGGACCCAAGAAGCACAAUUUAAAUACCACAUUCCUAAAAGAGAGAGAGCAUAGCUUGUAUUUCCUGGGCACCUAGAGAGAUGGGGGUAAACCGCAGGCUUAUUUUCAAGCUACCAUCUAUAGAGCACUUAACUGCAUGCCGGACCUGUUCUAAGUGUUUUACAUUGGUUAGUUCACUUAAUCCUUACAGCAACCCUGGAGAAGUAAGUAUCUUUAUUACCCACCUUGUGCCAACAAGAGGACUAAAGCAGUGUGCUUAAAUCAGGAUCACACCGCUAGGAUAGCUAGAGAAUUUAGUUCCAGAGCUUGUGGGCUUAUGCACUCUGUAUGUUCCCCCAAAUCUCCUUUAGAGUGAUGAGUGAGGAGCAUUGGAAUCCAGGCAGUUAGAAAAAACUCAACAGCCUCAGAAUCCAGCCUGAGCAGCCCUCAGCGCCCCAUUGAUAUCCUGGAUGACUCCGCCCAACUUCCACAUCUGACAGCUCAGUUAUAGACAGUCCCUGACGUAGAAGGAGUUAAAGUGCUGCCCCUUGGCUAUUUUAAUCCCUCAGCUGGCGACACAUUAUGUGUUGAAAUAACCAGUGAAAUGAUGCAAAGGCUGUUUUUUCUAAGGCUCUUAAAAUUCUGAUUGGUAGGGUUAAUUGCUACAACCUUGGCUCUGAAUAUCUCCCCACUGUUCUUUCACCCCAGUCCGGAUGCAGGAAGAAAGCACUGAGCUUCCCAGGCUGCUGCAGGCUUGAGGGCUGGUCUUCCCGAGAACAGGGCAAAUUUGAGGACUUUGAACCACACACUCAGGGACAGAACCAUCAAUAUCUGGAAUGUUUUUUCUCUGAAAUUUUGAUAGCACCUCCAAUCAGAAAUGUAAAAAAAAAAAAAAAAAAGUAAUAAAAGCCAAGCAGGAAUUCCCUUGUGGUCCAGUGGUUAGGACUCUGCCCUUCCACUGCAGGGGCCACAGGUUCCAUCCCUGGUCGGGGAUCUCAGAUCCCACAUGCUGCGUGGCUUGGCAAAAAAUAAAAAAAAUUAAAAAUUAAAGCCAAGCAAACCCCGCACAACUUGUGGGUUGUAUAGAAGUCUCACAUUUCUGAUCUGCCAUAUGUGUGGGAGUGAUGUCAAAUGUUGUUGUUAAAAACACUUUAUCCAUUUCUCAAUUAGGAGUCCUCAAAGAUGUCAAGAGACCAAGAAUAUUUGAACAGUAUAAAAGCCUAGUUCCUUCACCUAUUUCUUCUUUCCUUGGGUAGAAAAAUAAACUAUUAUUUGAAUUAUUGGGAGAAGCCGAUAGGAAAGGCUUGGCUUUUAUUAAAGAGCAGAAGUGAAUUAUUCAUUCACAUGAGGGUUGAAAGUACAGUCUCUGUCAUACCCUAAAUAUCUGGAACUCUGGAGCCCAGCCUGCACGUUUCCUGGGAGCACGACUGGCUUCACAGUUUCUGGGGCUUGGUGGCAGAUGAACAUGGAAGGGCCCUUGCUCAAAAUUACUUAGAACUUUAAGACGGCACCACCAGAGCUUCAGACUAAGUGCAGGGUUGGUCUGGGCGAGGAGCCGUUUGUGGACGUCCCUGGAGCUGGCCCUGCCUGUGUGCAGUGACCCAUACUGAGUCCUGGGAGGAUGGGAAAGCCUCCUUCUCUACCAAUGGAGGCCCAGGAAAGAAGCAAUCGUGUGCUCCAACUCACACUUAAGAAGGCUGGAGUCAGACCACUGCUCCCAAUCACCCCUUCUUUCAAGCUUGUGGUGGAAUAAGAAUCCCAUCCAAGGGCUUCCCUGGUGGUGCAGUGGUUAAGAAUCCGCUUGCCAAUGCAGGGGACAUGGGUUUGAGCCCUGAUCCGGGAAGAUCCCACACGCCGUGGAGCAACUAAGCCCGUGCGCCACAACUACUGAGCCUGCGCUCUAGAGCCUGCGAGCCACAACUACUGAGCCCACGUGCCACAACUACUGAAGCUGGGGAGCCUAGAGCCCAUGCUCCACAACAAGAGAGGCCACUGCAACGAGAAGCCCGCGCACCACAAUGAAGAGUAGCCCCCCCUCACUGCAACUAGAGAAAGCCUGCACGCAGCAACGAAGACCCAAGGCAGCCUAAAUAAAUAAAUAAAUAAAAAAUAAAGUUCUUGGUGAGGACUUCCCUGGUGGUGCAGUGGUUAAGAAUCCGCCUGCCAAUGCAGGGGACACGGGUUCAAGCCUUAGUCCAGGAAGAUCCUACAUGCCCAGGAAGAUCCCACAUGCCGUAGAGCAACUAAGCCUGUGCACCACAACUACUGAGCCUGCGCUCUAGAACCCGUGAGCCACAACUACUGAGCCCAUGCCACAACUACUGAAGCCUGCAUGCCUAGAGCCCGUGCUCCGCAACAAGAGAAGCCACCGCAAUGAGAAGCCCGCGCACCACAACGAAGAGUAGCCCCUGCUCGCCGCAACUAGAGAAAGCAAUGAAGACCCAACACAGCCAAAAAUAAACAAAUUUAUUUAAAAAAUCCCAUCCAAGACAAAGACAAAUACCAUAUGAUAUCACUUAUACGUGGAAUAUAAAAUAUGACACAAAUGAACCUAUCUAUGAAACAAACAGAAUCAGAGACAUAGAGAAUAGACUGGUGGUGGCCAAGGGGGAGGGGUGUGAGAGAAGGUAGGAAUGGGAGUUUGGGGUUAGCAGAUGCAAACUGGAAUAUAUAGGAUGGAUAAACAACAAGGUCCUACUGUAUAGCACCGGGAACUAUAUUUAAUAUCCUGUGAUAAACCAUAAUGGAAAAGAAUAUGAAAAGCAAUGUAUAUACAUGUAUAAAUGAGUCAUUUUGCUGUACAGCAGUAAUUAACAUAAUAUUGUAAUUCAACUAUACUUCAAUAAAAAAUAAAUUAAAAAAAAAAAGAAUCCCAUCCCCUACCCAUUCAACCAGUAUUUGUGUCACUAUUGGAUGAAUCCCACUUUCUGGAAUAAAGAGGAGAGAAUCAGUUCAUGUUACACGUACAUUACUUUUUUAAAAAAUACGCUUUAUUUUUUAGUGUUAGGUUCACAGCAAAAUUGAGAGGAAGGUACAGAGAGUUCCCAUAUACUUUCUGCUCUCACGUAUGCACAGCUUCCCCCAUUACCAACAUCCCCACCAGGUGGUAUAUCUGUUAUAACUGAUGACCCUACACAGACACAUCAUUGUCAGCCAAAGUCUAUAGUUUACAUUAGGGUUUAUUCUUAGGGUCAUACAUUCUGUAGGUUUGGAGAAAUAUAUAAUGUCAUGUAACCACUAUUAUAGUAUCACACGGAAUAGUUUCACUGCCCAAAAAAUCAUCUGGGCUCCACCUAUUCAUUCCUCCUUCCUCUUUCUUUUUUCUUUUUGGCUGUGACAUGUGGCUUGCGGGAUCUUAGUUCCCCGACCAGGGAUUGAACCUGCGCCCACAGCAGUGAAAGCACAGAGUCCUAACCACUGAACCACCAGGGAAUUCCCCCUCCUUCUUCUGAAUGUUUUAUACAUUUUGUGUGUGUGUGCCAUUUGUCAGUCUGGUGAAGUCUUUGGAUAUUUUCUCCCAAAUAAGAUUUUUAAUGCAUAAAAUACAAUAAUAAUUGAAGUACAAAAGGGAGUCGUAUACUAAAGUUACGAAAACAUUUAAAAACAAAAUCGUUAGUAAUAUAUUUGCUUCUUCAUUAGCACAUUAAAUUCCUAGACCUGACAGCAAGUCUAACACCUACUAUAAUUUUCAAGUAGUGAUGAUGGGCAUACAUGAUCAUUUGAAAUAUCUGCAGUGAUUCUGAUGUGCAAUGAAAGUAUUAGUGACAGAGCUACAGGGUCUACUGAAUACAACUGUGGUUUUAUCCAUUUAUUUUUGGCCCAUAUUCAUAAGGGAAGGAAAUGCUAGAUCUCAGAGAGAGGAUGAUGAGAAUAAAGCUGUGAUAUAUAUCUUUUCCCACCCAACCUCUCACGCCCCAGGCUGGUAUUAAGCGCUCGUCUGUCUGCUGGGACAUAGCACACCAAGUUGCUCCCCUAAGAGCUGGCCCCUACCACACGGGCAUUGGCUAAGGAGCAAACCGGUAAGGGAGGGGGACGCUGGAAGGGUGGAAGGGAGAGAAGUUCUUCCGUUUCGCUCACCGUGUCUGCCAGCGUCCUGCCAACGAUAGUGUUCCAUCCUAGUAGCGGAAGGUGAUUCUAGCAGUGGUUGGUUCCAGUUUCCAGUUGUUUCCACGCUCUCAGAACCAGCCUCCUGGUGUCCUCAUGAGACACCACCCGCUGGGUACCAUCCUCUUGGCUACUCAAACAAACUAUCAAACACUGGAUAGCUUAAAACAACAGAGAUGGAUUGUCUCAGGUUCUGGAGGCUGGAAGUCUGAGAUGAAGGGGUGGGCAGAGCCGAGCUCCCUCUGACAGCUCCAGAGGAGAAGGUUCCCUACCUCUUCUGGCUUCUGGCGCUGCCUGCAAUCUCGGUGUUCCUCAGCUCAUAGAUACAUCAUGGCUCCAGUCACGUGCGUGCCGUCUUCUCAUUGUGUCUUCACAUUGUCUUCCCUCCACGUAUCUCUGUGUCCUCAUCUCUUCUUUCUAUAAGGCUAUCGUCAUACUAGAUUAGGACCCAUUCUAAUGACCUCCUUUUAACUUGAUUACCUCUGUAAGGACCCACUUUCCAAAUAAGGUCACAUUCAGAGGUCCUGGGGGUUAGGUCUCCUAUAUAUAUAUAUAUAUAUUUAUUUAUUUAUUUAUUUAUUUAUUUAUUUAUUUAUUUUAUUUUAUUUUUUUUGCGGUACGCGGGCCUCUCACUGUUGUGGCCUCUCCCGUUGCGGAGCACAGGCUCCAGACGCGCAGGCUCAGCGGCCAUGGCUCACGGGCCCAGCCGCUCCGCGGCAUGUGGGAUCUUCCCAGACUGGGGCACAAACCCGUGUCCCCUGUAUUAGCAGGCAGACUCUCAACCACUGCGACACCAGGGAAGCCCUCUAAUAUAUAUUUUUUGAGGGGACACAAUUUAACCUAUCACACCUCUUCUCAGGGGUCUGGGUCCCAGCUCCGUGGAAACCGUCUCCAAGCUUCUAGUUCCCCCAACCCCAGGUGGGGAGCUGUUUCCUACAGUUAUCAUUUCUGAGCUACCUAGUGUCUUCCAGUCCUCCAGGCUCUGAUUAAUCAAUUCCUUACAUUACAUUCUCUCUGUUAAAAUAACUGGUGUGGUUUCACUUUCCUGGCCAGACCUUGGCUGACUUAGAGGACCCCUGAAUCUUCAGCGUGGAUCCCAGGUUAAGAGGAUCUGAUGUCUUAAAUAGAUAUCCAGUAAUUAUUUCAAGAAAGAAUCAGGAAUUAUAAGUGAGGAAAUGAGACUUCCAAAAUGUAUACCCUUUUGUCUCGUUUAAAUGUCUCAGUUGUUCCCUUAUUGUAUUCUUGUGUUAGAUACUAGAAAAUGAGAUGGACCCAGGAGUUUGUCUUCAGAGGCAGUGAGAAAGGAGGAAGCUGUGUGUGUGGGGGGCAGGGGUGGGGAGGUCUUGGGUGAGAAGCAACCCCAUGGGGUAGAGAAGAGGGGCAGCAUUAAGAGAAAAUGAAAGUCAUUGAGUCCCUGGGACUGGGGCAGGGUGGAAAAGAAGAAUAUAGUAGCUGGGCCUGGGAACCAGUUCUGGGAAUCCCACAGGGAAAAAAGCUUUGGUGCCCUUUAACCCAGUCUCUAGAAAGCUCUCCUAGGAAAAUAAUCCAAAAGAAAAAAUAUCUAAACCCCUUGACUUUUUCCCAGCCUGUCAGGCCUGUGGGUACAGACAAGGGUCCAUUAACUGAUGUCCAUGGUCUUUGGCAUCCUGGCCCACAUGCGGAACUGGACGACUUCAAGCCUCUGCUUGGAGCCUGCCAAUCAGUUCUCAGAGUCCCUUGCAAGGGUCUCAUACGUGCUAAGGGCCAGACCUGCUUCUGUUCUGCUCUUGCCUGUGUGUGGAAGUCCUCAGCCUGCAGGCCAUGAGAGGGUGGUGCUUUGCUUCUGCCCCAGCUGUUCCACCCACAUGAAAACGCUGCAUCUGGGCCAUUUUCAUGGACAUGGCAAGCUCUGCCAAUGUGCCUGGCUGUCCUUUUCACAUCUGGACCAGGAAGUGACACUGCUUUGCCCUGGGUCUCACAGACCUUUCAUCAAAAAGACGCUUUCCCCUUCUGCCUGUUCACCUCCUCUUUACAUAAGACCAGACCCAGUCCAGUCUUGGACUUCAGACACCAGUCACAAGUCCAGGCAGUCACCUGUGCUUUGACUGUCCCAGUAUAUCUCAGAGGUUCCCGUGACCUCCUCCUUGGGUUUGAUUAAUUUGCUAGAGCGGCUCACCGAACCUGGAAAACCUGUUGACUCACUAGAUCACUGGUUUAUUAUGAAAACUUAUCACUCAGCAAGAGCCACAUGGAGGAGAUGCAUAGGACAAGAAAUGGGGGAAAGGGCGUGGAGCUUCCAUGACCCCUCUGAGGCCGUUCUCCCAGUAUCUCCACAUGUUCUCCAACCUGUAUGCUCUCUGAACUCUGUCCUUUUUGGGGUUUUGUGGAGGCUUCAUUACAUAGGCAUGAUUGAUUGAAUCAUUGGUCAUUGGUAGCUGACUCAACCUCCAGCCCCUCUCCUCUCCCUGGAAAUCACAAGGUAGGGCUGAAAGUUCCAACCCUCUAGUCACGUGGUUGACUCCACAGGCAACCAGCCCUCAACCCUUACAGAGGGCUGUCCAAAAGUCACCUCGUUAACAUAACAAAAGGCACCUUAAGGGCUUGCAUCAGGAAUGGGUCAAAGGCCAAAUAUCUAUAUUGCCUAUUAUAGUCACGAUAUCACUGGCCCGUGGAUAAAGAUGGUCCCCUCUGCUGCUCCCUCAGUGAAACAGGGAGCAUAACUCCUGCUCUGUGAGUCUUCCGGAGCCUCAAACUGGUUCAUGGGUGUGAAGUUAUUUCAAUAGUUUGAAAGAAAGAACAAGUCUUGCUACUUUUUAAAGGACCUGCUGAAGAACUUUGGACACUGUGCUCUCAAGAAGAAUGACUUUUCUAGAGACUCACUCAGAGGACUUACCAGCAGGUGCAUGAACCCCUUGUUGAGGGCACUGGGGUUUGGGGUGAGAGGACCUGGAUUCAAGACCCGGUUCUGCCAUAUUCCAGGCACGUGACUUGGGCCUCACGCUUCCUCAUCUGUAGAAUGGGAAUAACAAUAACAUCUCUUACAAAGCCCUGUUGUGAAGAUCAAAUGAGGUGAGUGAAAGUGUAAAGAAAAAAAAAAGGCAUUUGCCAUUAUUAUAAUUAUUAAUAUCUAUGUUAUAUAUAUUUAUAUCUAUAUAAAUUAUAGAUAUUAUAAUAUUAUAAUUAUUAUAUCUAUGUACCUAAUGAUUACAAAGGUAUUCAUUAGGUACAUAGAUAUAAUAAUUAUUAUAUCUAAUAAUUAGAUAUAAUUAUUAGAUUAUUAUAUCUAAUAAUUAUUAUAUAUGAUAAUAUAUAUAUAUAUAUGAUUUUAUUAAUUACAAUGGAGCAUGGGCUAGGGUUAAAAGGGCACAGAAUUGCUUCCCUGGUGGUGCAGUGGUAGAGAGUCCGCCUGCCGAUGCAGGGGACGCGGGUUCGGCCCCGGUCCGGGAAGAUCCCACAUGCCGCGGAGCGGCUGGGCCCGUGAGCCAUGGCCGCUGAGCCUGCGCGUCUGGAGCCUGUGCUCCGCAACGGGAGAGGCCACAACAGUGAGAGGCCCGCGUGCCGCAAAAACAAACAAACAAACAAGCAAGAAAGGGCACGGAAGACUGGCCCUGCACGCAAAGGUCUUGCGCACAGACAGAAAACUGUGGCCACCGGUGCUCACUGACAGGCGAGCCCCACCCAGUAAGCGCUGGGGUUGGGGGGGUGGCAGGGAGAAGGUUGAAGUUAAGGGUUCACAUCAGUUCCUCCGUGGGGGAGGAACUGAUAUCAGAGGGCUCUUCAGGCUCCCUGUAAAGGGGUGGUAGGGGUAACAACAGGGACAUUCAGUCCUGCCAAUCUGCCCCAGAUCCCAAACUAGAUCUAGGGGCGGAGCCUCCGCAGGCAAACACGCCAGCUUCGAGUCCGGGAAAGAAGUCGGCUCCAUAAGCAGCUGUCAAUCAACCACAGUCAUCCCAGCUCUAGGGUCUCCAAGCAUCUUGGGAGAAGGCGCUGCUUCCCAAGUCUUUACACCCUUGAGAUGGCAUCACGCAUCAGGGGAAGGGGGUGGGCUCAGCCCACCUCCGUCACUCAGAUCCCGCGGUGGGAGAAAUCCGGGAGAAGAGGGCUCUGGCGAUGUGGUCCUCCGCCCGGCGGAAAAGUGGGGGGCCCUCUGCGUGGCCGAAGUCCGAGCCAACGGCAGGGAGGGGAGAUGGAGUUUGGCAGCAACCGCCCUUGGUGGUCUGCCCGGGGAGACUCAGAACGAGCAGAUUUGGGUCUCUGCGACAGCGCCCCAGCCUUGCUUCAAUGGCCCUUGACUUCCCUAGCUUCUUGCCACACAGCCUGAGCUUGUUUUUCUCGCCUGUAAUAAAGAGGUUGUUAAAACGACAUGAAAAAUCUAGUCUCGAACUUGCUAAUUAUUCAAUAAAUAGUAGCUGUCAUCGGCGUGGUCACAGUCAGCAGCACUGCCGCAUCAUCCGUGGGUGGCUGAGUCAGACCCGCCGGACCCCGCGCGGGACCUCGACUCUUUCCAGGCGCUUUCGCUCCCCGGCCUGGGAAGGAGCUGCAAACGUCCUGCUGCCCAGGCAACGAGGAGCCCGCGCGCAGAACCGGGAGCAGACCUUGCACGCGUCCUUCUUCCCCUCGCUCCCCACGCUCCAGGUUGGUGCAUCAAACACCUGGAUUUCUACUGGCUUCCAUGCGAUCGUUCUAGUGCCCACGAGGACCGCAGGCGCUGGCUGAACUCCAACCCAGACAACCUACCUGGCUCUUACUCCCCGCAUCUCAGUGGUUCUAUUGGGACCACAGAGGGGCUAUUGUGAUGUGGUGGGAGCAUUUUUAUUGCAACAAAAAUGGCAUUUAUUGGGGUUGCCAGUGAUGGCAGACACCCUGCAAAGUGUGGAACAGUCCUGAAUAACAAAGAACUGUGUGGCAUGACUUUCAGAUGUCCCUCGGGACAUCCAUAUAAGUGAAAGACCAUUUAUUAUUUUAUCUGAGCUGGGAUCUAACCCAGUUUAUGUAUAAACAAAACGCUUUUUUUUUUGCAAGAUGUUUAAAUUGUGGUAAAAAAUACAGAAUGUAAAAUUUUACCAUUUUAACCAUCUUUAAGGGCACAAUUAAGUGGCAUUGAGUACAUCUGCAAUGUUGUGCAACGUCACUGCAAUAUAAUUCCAAACCUUUUCAUUACCCCAAACAGAAGCUCUCUACACAUGAAGCAAUAUUUCCCUCUUUUCCCCGCCCCCAGCCCUUAAUAACUUCUAAUCUACUUUCUGUCUCUGUGAAUUUGUCUAUUCUAGGGACCUCAUAUAGGUGGAAUCAUACAAUAUCUGUUCUUUUUUUCAUCACAAACUUUGCCAAGGGUUGUUCACCACAUGGGAAAAUUACUAUCACCGGAGACUAGGCCAUGCAUAGUAUCUGAAUCAUCAAUAAAAGUUAUAUGCAUCUGUCUGCAUUUGUAACAUUGAACAUGGCUGCAAGCAUUUGACACUUUAAUAUGCUUUCUAGUGUGAUUAUGUCCAAACAUUCAUGUAUUGAAAUACAUUUUAUUUUAUUUUAUUUUGCAUUCCUUUUUAUUCCCAAGUUAAAGCAUUAUGGUUUUUUAAAAAUUAUGUAUUGGUAGCUUAAAUAAGCUGUUAAUAUCAUUUUAGGUUGGUGACGGGGUCAUUACAAAAUAUUUAUUACUAAAUGGGGCUUUGGGCUUAGUGGGGCUGAGAAUCAGAGACUUAUACCCUACAGUUCCUGACAAAUGACCAGGCAUGAGGGAACGUAUCCCCAGAAGUGAGGUGCUGUUGACCAACCUUGAAUAUGACCUGUGUUUACAACCUUACACAGCCAGCCCCACCCCUCAGAUAGGAAAUCCUCAAACCACUGAACCGAUUGUCUCUUUGGUCACCACUGCCUGACUGUUGAGGUCUGACCAGUGCAGACCAUAGGGAUUUUUGCUCCUGUCCUCAGUGUUGGCCAUUGUAAUUACUGUUGUUCUUAGCCUUAAUGAUGGGCAUAGGCAGCCUAAACAAAUUGAGAUCAGAUUAUUUCUCAGCAAUUACCUAAAAGUGAAGCUGUAUUUUCAGCAUUCAACAAAAUGAUUGAUUCCAGCACAAGUCCUGCGCAUCUCAUGUGUUGACCGAGAAUCAGUAUUGACGCUGCAAAGAACAAAACGCUUUAUUUGGGGUCUUAAGAAUUGCAGUUUGUGGGAGUUUCCUGGUGGCUUAGUGUUUGGGAUUCGGCGCUGUCACUGCUGUGGCCUGGGUUCGAUCCCUGGGGGGAAUCUCACAAGCUGUGCGGCAAGCCCAAAACUUUAAAAAGAGAAAAAAAUAAAAGAA